GCUAUGGUAGAAGGGUCAUUGAUCAAACAUCUGCUUUGCAUGCAGAAGGUUCCAGGUUCAAUCCCCGGCAUCUCCA